rnacentral:piRNA from 2 species
UGGAUUCGGAAGGAUAUGUGUUUAG